rnacentral:tRNA from 1 species
GCCUGAGUGGCUCAGUUGGUUGAGCGUCCGACUUUGGCUCAGGUCAUGACCUCAGGUUUGUGAGUUCGAGCCCCACGUCAGGCU